CACAUCUCUCAUUUACCUUGAAUGUUAUUGAUUCAUGACAUUGAUUUGUAGAUGCAAGCAUCGUGAUGUAAUAAAGUUGCUGUUUGCUCUCAUCGUUAUAAUAACUAUAGUGUUCUAUCUGCCAUUUCAAUAUUUUCCAAAGUAUCCACUCUAAUGGUUACUCCCUCUGUUAAUAUAUUUCGGGAUUUCACCUUUCCCUAGAUUGUCUGUAUUCAUCCUGUUGAGAGUUCUCUCGUGUAAAAUUUAGCAAGAUUGAUUAUCAUGUUUUUUUAAAAAAAUAUUCUAUUGCAUUUUGGCAUUUAGAGGAUCAUAGUCAAAACUCCACCAAAUGGAUUAAAUGAUGUUGUACUUUUUGGUGAAUAAUUGGUUUGAGUUUAAGACAUUUUGAUACACAAAAUCAGGUUGCCAUUGACUAUGAAUAACGCAUGAUACAUCUCAGCAAAUAUAUCCUUUGUUGCUUAUAAAUAUUCAGCGUUUAUGAUCACUGAUGUGCAAGUAUUUGGAGUCCAUCUUUACAUAUCCAGGUUGGAAGAUAUAUAAGUAUAUAGCAGGGUUCCAGUACUCUGUUAGUGGCCUUCUCAAGACUUUAGGAUUUACAUAUAGAGCUAAUAUUCCUUCUGGUUUUUUAAUUCUAUAUUUCGAGUUAAACGUCUUCUUCAUUCUGAUUCAAAUUAAAAUUUAGAAUUCUUUGUUCAGUUAUGUUUGAUCGCAGUAAACUUUGAAAGCACAGGACUCCAUUUUUCUGCCGAAUGUGUAAAUUACAGUCGGAUCAUUGUGUGCAUAUUUAAUGUCGUGUCACUGCUGUGUACUUUUCUUGAUGGUCAAUUCUCUGCAAGAGUGUAUUUAUAUGAAAAAAACUGACCUCAUUCCGUGGCUUAAACUUGAAUCAUUCUAGAGGUAACUAAAUUUUAUCAUGCACCCCCUCAGGAAUUUGUGGGUAAGAUGUACAAACAUAUUCUAUGUAGUAGAAUUUAGAGGAAUUGGGGUACUGGCCACUCUGUACUCCUUUGGGCUGGUUGGAUAUUCAGAGUCCAACAGAGGAUUAUGGGAAGAUCGAUUAAAAAACCUGUAUAGCUUGAUACAUAAUUUGCAUAAUUUAGUUUGCAAUUAACAGUCGAGCUGGGAUAUGUUAUGAUGUUGUGUGGUCGUUCCUCAGCAGCCACCAUAAAGAUGGCACGGACCUCUGCUUUCUUAGAUAAUCGAGCCGCCAAGUUCAGCGGCAAAUUGGGUGAGUUUAGGCUCCUCAAUAUCUGGCGAUACAAUGACAGAACCCGACCUUUAUUCCUAGCCAAAUCUUCAGCUGUUGCCCAUAUCAGCUUUUGCCAUUUCUAAAAACUUUAGCAAACAAACGACACAAUAUAAUUAAUUAUGUUUAAGCAUUCCACUCUUCAGGGAACAAAACAUUAUAAACACAUAGAUAUAUUUUGUAGUCCUAUACUUUGCUCAUGCUUUUUGGUUUCGUCGUAUAUAUGGUUUCGUCCCGAAACAAAUAUCAAAAAUUUGUGUCCUACUAACAUUCUAUCUCUUAAUAAACAUUAGUUUUAUAAACAAAAACAAAUACUACAAAUUUCACAAGACACCCUCAUCUUCGCCCUCUGUCUCUCUCCAUCCUUUCUCUGAAGGCUGAAGCUGUAGCUGUCAAGCAGUGGCACCAAAGCUGGGAGCUGUAUUCGAAUCAAAAGCGGUUGUUGUGCAACUUGAACCAAAGCCAGUAGGCACGGUCACUGAAGUUGAACCAAACGUGUUAUCUCAUCUGUUUCGAGCCAACCGCAGUUCCUCUACACACAACCUCCGUCCAAGGUCCUGCAUCUGAAGAAUUUGCCAUGGGAAUGCACUGUGGAGGAGUUGAUUGAACUUGGUAAACCAUUUGGUAAAGUUGUCAACACCAAGUGUAAUGUUGGGGCCAACCGAAACCAAGCUUUUAUUAAAUUUGUUGAGUUAAAUCAAGCUAUAGCGAUGAUAUCAUAUUUUGCUUCAUCAUCAGAAGCGGCUCAGGUCCGAGGGAAAACUGUCUACCUACAGUAUUUUAAUAGGCAAGAAAUAGUGAACAACAAAACUACUGCAGAUGUUGCUGAAAAUGUGCUGGAGAUGUUGCAGAUCACCGAGAACUUAGUAGCUUAACAUAAAAUACAAACAAAGAGGCGAAGAAAGAACUGAAAGAGUUACAAGCUGCUCGAAGAAUUACUUAUGAAAUUUGGCAAUUUUGCCUGGAGUAGGAGCAACUUUAGGGGAAGUUUGCCGAGAAUAUCUAAAUGGACGGUGUGCAAAAAGUGAUUGCAGAUUCAAUCACCCACCGCACAGUUUGCUGAUGACUGCAUUAGCUGCCGCAACCACCAUGGGAACUUUCAGCCAGACUGUACCAGUUAAUCCCCAUUCUUGAACAAUUUAACCGGAAAGCAUGUCAUAGUCAAACUGAAGUGGGGAAUGGAAUACAAAGGUAAUGGCUUAAUAUUGGGUUAUUUUAAGCCCAAUACAGUAUAUGCUAGGUUUUCAUAGUGUUACGACUGACUACUAUAUUUAUCGAUAUUCGGCAUCUCUUUUAGCUUUAUAUCAAUCUGUGGUAAAAGAAUAAAAAAUGCGUGCUAUAGAUUUAUAGCAGCUAGCUUAAACUUAAGAGAGUAGCUAGGGACAUCCAGCCAAAUGCGAAAGAUGGUUGUAGUCCAUUGUGUUGAUGGACUAGAAGAAUGUUAAUUUCCAAUUUCUGGUAUAUAUAAUCGAGGCGUUGUAGAUC